rnacentral:rRNA from 1 species
UACGAAGGGGGCUAGCGUUGUUCGGAAUUACUGGGCGUAAAGGGCGCGUAGGCGGCCAUCUAAGUCAGACGUGAAAUCCCCCGGCUUAACCUGGGAACUGCGUCUGAUACUGGAAGGCUUGAGUAUGGGAGAGGGAUGUAGAAUUCCCGGUGUAGCGGUGAAAUGCGUAGAUAUCUGGAGGAAUACCGGUGGCGAAGGCGGCAUCCUGGACCAUUACUGACGCUGAGGCGCGAAAGCUAGGGGAGCAAACGGG